GAUGAAGAACGUAGCGAAAUGCGAUACUUGGUGUGAAUUGCAGAAUCCCGUGAACCAUCGAGUCUUUGAACGCAAGUUGCGCCCGAAGCCAUUAGGCCGAGGGCACGCCUGCCUGGGCGUCACACGUCGUUGCCCCCCCAUCUACUCCUUCGGGAUUGCGGGGGGCGGAUGAUGGCCUCCCGUGCGCCUCGCCGCGCGGUUGGCAUAAAUGCCAAGUCCUCGGCGACGCACGCCACGACAAUCGGUGGUUGCGAAACCUCGUUUGCCCGUCGUGUGCGGUCGUCGCGCAUCGAGGGCUCGAAAAAAUUGCCGGGUUCCGGCUCGGCUUUCAACGCGACCCCAGGUCAGGCGGGGUUACCCGCUGAAUUUAAGCAUAUCUAAGCGGAGGA
rnacentral:misc_RNA from 1 species